UAAAACAUAUCGAAAAGCAGAGUAAUCGUUAGCGGCUAGCAAGAGAGUUUCCGGUUGGUGGAAGGGAACAGCUUAAGGCGGUGAAGAUGGGCUUGGAAUGGCACCGGCGAUAGUUAGUUGGUGACGGAGUUGCACACGUUAUCAGUGCAGGGUAAUUCCUUGAGGAGUAACCCGCUAAGGCUACCAGCCGUGAGGUGGUAGCGAAUUAAGGUGGUAACGCGAAGCACUCGCCCUUGAU
rfam:Lactobacillus fermentum CECT 5716, complete genome.